rnacentral:rRNA from 1 species
GACGAACGCUGGCGGCGUGCUUAACACAUGCAAGUCGAACGGAAAGGCCCUGCUUUUGUGGGGUGCUCGAGUGGCGAACGGGUGAGUAACACGUGAGUAACCUGCCCUUGACUUUGGUAUAACUUCAGGAAACUGGGGCUAAUACCGGAUAGGAGCUCCUGCUGCAUGGUGGGGGUUGGAACGUUUCGGCGGUUGGGGAUGGACUCGCGGCUUAUCAGCUUGUUGGUGGGGUAGUGGCUUACCAAGGCUUUGACGGGUAGCCGGCCUGAGAGGGUGACCGGCCACAUUGGGACUGAGAUACGGCCCAGACUCCUACGGGAGGCAGCAGUGGGGAGUAUGGCACAAUGGGCGGAAGCCGGAUGCAGCAACGCCGCGUGCGGGAUGACGGCCUUCGGGUUGUAAACCGCUUUCGCCUGUGACGAAGCGUGAGUGGCGGUAAUGGGUAAAGAAGCACCGGCUAACUACGUG